AGAGUUUGAUUCUGGCUCAGAACGAACGCUGGCGGCAGGCUUAACACAUGCAAGUCGAACGGUUGUAGCAAUACAGCAGUGGCGCACGGGUGAGUAACGCGUGGGAACGUGCCUUUCAGUCUAGGAUAACACCGGGAAACUGGUGCUAAUACUGGAUAUUCCCUCCGGGGGAAAGAUUUAUCGCUGAAAGAUCGGCCCGCGUUAGAUUAGGUAGUUGGUGGGGUAAUGGCCUACCAAGCCUACGAUCUAUAGCUGGUCUGAAAGGAUGAUCAGCCACACUGGAACUGAGACACGGUCCAGACUCCUACGGGAGGCAGCAGUGGGGAAUAUUGGACAAUGGGCGAAAGCCUGAUCCAGCCAUGCCGCGUGUGUGAUGAAGGCCUUAGGGUUGUAAAGCACUUUUGUCAGGGAAGAUAAUGACGGUACCUGAAGAAUAAGCACCGGCUAACUUCGUGCCAGCAGCCGCGGUAAUACGAAGGGUGCUAGCGUUGUUCGGAAUUACUGGGCGUAAAGCGCGCGUAGGCGGCGAUACAAGUCAGAGGUGAAAGCCUGGAGCUCAACUCCAGAAUUGCCUUUGAAACUGUAUUGCUUGAGUGUCGGAGGGGAUAGCGGAAUUGCUAAUGUAGAGGUGAAAUUCGUAGAUAUUAGCAGGAACACCGGAGGCGAAGGCGGCUAUCUGGACGACAACUGACGCUGAGGCGCGAAAGCGUGGGGAUCAAACAGGAUUAGAUACCCUGGUAGUCCACGCUGUAAACGAUGGGUGCUAGCCGUUGGAAGGUUACCUUUCAGUGGCGCAGCUAACGCGUUAAGCACCCCGCCUGGGGAGUACGGUCGCAAGAUUAAAACUCAAAGAAAUUGACGGGGGCCCGCACAAGCGGUGGAACAUGUGGUCUAAUUCGAGGCAACGCGAAGAACCUUACCAGGGUUUGACAUGCUCUCUAUGGAUUCCUGAAAGGGAGUCCUUCAGUUCGGCUGGGAGAUGCACAGGUGCUGCAUGGCUGUCGUCAGCUCGUGUCGUGAGAUGUUGGGUUAAGUCCCGCAACGAGCGCAACCCUCGUCCUCUGUUGCUAACAGGUAAUGCUGAGAACUCUGAGGAAACUGCCGGUGAUAAGCCGGAGGAAGGUGGGGAUGACGUCAAGUCCUCAUGGCCCUUACAUCCUGGGCUACACACGUGUUACAAUGGCGGUGACAAUGGGCAGCAAACUCGCGAGAGUAAGCAAAUCCCCAAAAGCCGCCUCAGUUUGGAUUGUACUCUGCAACUCGAGUACAUGAAAUUGGAAUCGCUAGUAAUCGUAGAUCAGAACGCUACGGUGAAUACGUUCCCGGGUCUUGUACACACCGCCCGUCACACCAUGGGAGUUGGUUCUACCUUAAGCCGCCGCGCCAACCGCAAGGAGGCAAGCGUCCACGGUAGGGUCAAUGACUGGGGUGAAGUCGUAACAAGGUAGCCGUAGGGGAACCUGCGGCUG
rnacentral:rRNA from 1 species